rnacentral:rRNA from 1 species
AACGAACGCUGGCGGCAUGCCUAACACAUGCAAGUCGAACGAGACCUUCGUGUCUAGUUGCUCACGCGUGCGUCACGCGUCGGAACCUGCCCUUAUGUUCGGAAUAAUUCUCCUUCAUGGGUGCUAAUACCGGAUAAUUUCUUCUGACCAAAGAUUUAUCGCCUUUGGAUGGGCCCGCGUUGCAUUAGCUUGUUGGUAUGGUAAAAGCCUACCACGGCUAGGCUCCUUAGCUGGUUUGAGAGCAAGAGAAGCCACACUGAGACUGAGCAACGGUCGAGAAUACUACGGAAGGCGGGAAUGGGGAAUAUAGGACAAUGGGGGGAAGGAUGAAGGGGCAAGGGCGGGUAAGUGAUGAAGGCCUUAGAGAAGUAAAGCUGUUUUAAACGGGAUGAUAAUGACGGUACCGAGAGAAUAAGCACCGGCUAACUCCGUG